GCCUGCUGGUUUUACUUCAGCUUUCUGCGAGGCAUUAGUAUCUGCCACACGUACCUACGAAGUCGUAGGUCUCCAUGAGAGGCAAGGGACAAGAUGUUUUCUCCUGAACCUGGAGCAUAGUCAGGGUUGUCGUUCGUAGAGAUGCGACAGCUGAUUAACAGAAAAACAUAUUUUAAAACAGAUUUUUAAACAGAUAUAUAUUGAUUGGACAUAAACGAGUUUACGACCAAGAAAAUAAUCCAUUGGAUCAAUCGGUGGAUGUGGACUCAUCGGUGGAUUCAAGUAAAAUAGAGAGAUGAAAUUCAAUAAAGAUGCACCUGGUGCAACGUUAUCAUAGAUGUGUGAGUUGUGAAUUUCAUGUGGUAGGAUGCUUUGUAUUUUUUUUUUUGUAGAAUUGUUAUGAUAAAACGAAUAAUUCACAAAAUGUACCAAAAAAUAUCCAGUAUCAAAAACCUUCAACCUCCAUCAUUGAAGUAACCUAUAUGUGUAAAGUGAACGUAUCAAAUUUGAAGUGAGGGCCGGAGGUGAUUCGAAUAACCAACGUAAAGGGGGCCAUGUAUGUGAAAAAAAACAAAAGGCCUUCCGAAGAGGGGGCGACUUCAGAAAAUUUCGAUGUUUUUAAAUAAACAAAAAAAUUGUGAAAAAAUUAGGUGGUGGCAACAUUGCCUCGAGCAAGACUGCUGCGCUCCGCACGAAAACUCCUGUGAACUGUUGGCAGGAGGAAAUUGACCAAAUGCGCCCGAGUGGGAAGCAAUGGCCAUUCAAAGAAAGAGAAGGUGAUUUUCUGUGCUAGUGUUGUCGAAUUGACACUGACAGUUGUCACUAACUUCAAAUUGCUUCAAACCUCAUUAUGAAGUAUUUCAAUUAUUUUAAUCUCAUAUAUCAUUGUUUAGAAGUAGAAUGUGUAUUAGAAUAAAAUUUAAUAAUCAACAGAAAGCAAAAAUACCGAAGUAUAGAUGGCUUUAAGGCAUAGUCAUGCAAAGUAACACCUUGAGGUAAAACUUGCAGCACCACAUUAUCAUGUCUGCUAUAAACUAUGAAGAAAAAUAUAUGGAAAAUAACUUGAAUCAUGCCCUUGCAACUGCCGUAUCAAAGCUAUUAUAUCGAAGCUCCAUCUACCAGAGUUUUUUUUAAUAGGAACUAGUCAGGACUGUUCAAUGCCAAGGUUUAUUAAUGACCAAAAUCAGGACUUGAUCCAGAAUUGAAAACAACCACACAAAUUCAAAUUACUACUACAAAAUAUUUUCGGCAUUGUCAUAAUUAGUAUAUAGCAAAGUUGAAUCUUUUGAAACAUCAGGUAAUCAUUUAUAAAAGUACACCAGCUGACUGUAUUUUUCAAAAUCAUGUUGAUUGCCAUCUGUCAAAAAGCUAACAACACCCAUUUUCGAUGGCUGAUGAACUUUCGACAAGGAUGAGACAUGUCUAAGCUGGUCCUUAGGGCACUCCUUCGAAGCGCCAUAUUCACUAUCCACUGUAAGAAUCAUCUCUACGAGCAGGUUAGCAGUAGGCAGGACUUUCAUUAACAUUUAUGACUGACGCUAUAAAGUCACCGAAAAUGAUAUCAAAGAUGUCAAGGAAAGUUUCAAGAUAUUGGAAAGUUUGAAGGAAAUUGAUAUUCUGCUGCUGGUUAGUUAAUCGAUAUGAAAUAUGAUGAACCUCAGUGAAGAUAUGCAGUAGGUACAUUCUUCAUUAGGAAGAUCUUUUUGUAGCAGUUCUGGAUGAGUAGAAUAUUUUUAUCCAUUCUCAGUUUUGUUUUGUGUAUGUUUUUAAUUUUAUCCUCGUUCAUAAACUUCUUCUGUAACAAGACUCACCUAAAUCUUUUCAUAAAGUAGAAUGCCCAUUUUAGAAUAAUCUCUUUAGAUUUCACUACAGUUUUUUUUGUGAUGAAAACACUUUUCCCAAAAGCCGAAAUAGUACCUUUUCUAGAUGCGUGUUUCGCUAACCGAGUUAGAAUUAUUAAGAGAUAAUCAAAACAGUUCCAGUCGUCUCUUGAUGAUACCAAUUUGGUUAGCAGAAAUGCGCGUUGGGAAAAAUGGUUGUAGUUUGUGAAAAUCUGCUUUCAUUGGAAUAUUUUUCUACCAUAGGUUCCAGUUUUACUUAAUGGCUAAUGUUAUCUUGCUUUGAAAUAGUUUUUAGCUUUGUUAGUGAAAAUCACCACUAUUAUGAAUGCGUGUUCCUUCACUGUUUUGUCUGAUCCGUUCUACGAAUUACACGUUAAAAAUUUAGACCUCAUUAAUCCGAAUCCUGCACAAGUUUCGGCUGUUGGGGGUGGUAAUUUGUAUAGGAAUAAAAUAUGGUUAACGGAGAAACAGAAGUCAUAUGCACAACGGAAAUCACUAAUACAUAAUGAUGGACUGUCUAUUAGAAAAAUGAAGUAUAUAAAUGAAAGAAGCUGGAUUGAUGAUACACUAUCUUGGAUUAUGCAAUUAUUUUGCAAAACAAUUGUUUUCAGUUAUGAAGAAGUUACUUGAAUCCUUCACGUUUUCUUGAAUCUCUUGUUUUUUCUGUCGCUGAUUAAGGAUCUCAUUGUAAUUUGACAUAUUCUUAUGUUUCCACAUCAAUAAAUCAUUUGAAAUUCA